rnacentral:rRNA from 1 species
GACGAACGCUGGCGGCGUGCUUAACACAUGCAAGUCGAACGGGAACCUUUAUUUCGGUAAAGGUGAGAGUGGCAAACGGGUGAGUAACACGUAGGCAACCUGCCGACAGGAUGGGGACAACAUUCCGAAAGGAAUGCUAAUACCGAAUGAAGUCCGAGGAUGGCAUCAUCCUUGGAUAAAAGAUGGCCUCUUAACAAUGCUAUCGCCUGUCGAUGGGCCUGCGUCUGAUUAGCCAGUUGGCGGGGUAACGGCCCACCAAAGCGACGAUCAGUAGCCGGUCUGAGAGGAUGAACGGCCACAUUGGGACUGAGACACGGCCCAGACUCCUACGGGAGGCAGCAGUGGGGAAUCUUCCACAAUGGGCGAAAGCCUGAUGGAGCAACGCCGCGUGAGUGAAGAAGGUCUUCGGAUCGUAAAGCUCUGUUGCACGGGACGAAAACUGGG